rnacentral:rRNA from 1 species
UACGAAGGGGGCUAGCGUUGUUCGGAAUUACUGGGCGUAAAGCGCACGUAGGUUGAUUGUUAAGUCAGGGGUGAAAUCCCGGAGCUCAACUCCGGAACUGCCCUUGAUACUGGCAAUCUCGAGUCCGGAAGAGGUUAGUGGAAUUCCCAGUGUAGAGGUGAAAUUCGUAGAUAUUGGGAAGAACACCAGUGGCGAAGGCGGCUAACUGGUCCGGUACUGACACUGAGGUGCGAAAGCGUGGGGAUCAAACAGG